CCCUUAGAUGUCCUGGGCCGCACGCGCGCUACACUGAUACGUUCAACGAGCUCCCCUUGGUCGAGAGGCCUAGGUAAUCUUUUGAACGCGUAUCGUGAUAGGGAUAGACCUUUGCAAUUAUUGGUCUUGAAUGAGGAAUUCCUAGUAAACGCGAGUCAUCAGCUCGCAUUGAUUACGUCCCUGCCCUUUGUACACACCGCCCGUCGCACCUACCGAUUGAAUGGCCCGGUGAAUCUUUAGGACUGUGGCUGAGGCCUUGCCUUGUGCGGGUCUGGCCGUGGGAAUUUAGUUAAACCUUACCAUUUAGAGGAAGGUGAAGUCGUAACA
rnacentral:rRNA from 1 species